GUUCAGUUGGACGACACCGAGGAAGGAGGGUGUCGCUUACCGGCCAGCGGGCUGCAAAUGACGGUUGUCAUUCUGGCUGAGCAUGACAACGACCCCAAACAUGCAGCCAGAGACAUAAAGAACUAUCUCCAGCAACAAGAAGGACAAGGAGUCCUGAAACAGAUGGUUUGGCCCCCACAGAGCCCUGAUCUCAACAUCAUGGAGUCAGUCUGGGAUUAACAUGAAGAGACAGAAGCAGCUGAGACGCCCUGAAUCCACAGAGGAACUGUGGCAGGAACAACCGACCUGCCAAAUACCUGAAAAACUGUGCAGGUGUAACAAGGAGAAGUGCUGCUGUUUUAAAGGCGAAGCUGCUCACAGAUCGUUGUUGAAGAAGGCGUCCACAUCAAUGUCCUCGAUCUCAUCUACAGCUACUCCCUCUUCUUUAACUACAAGGCACAUGGAGGACAAACCUGGCUCGUCGUCAGUGAACGCAGCUUUCAGCCCGACCACGACAGCCAACAGCAGGAACACGAGCUGAGCU